CGCUUCUUGAUUGCCGUCAGUAAACUGGCUGUGGACCCUGCACAGGAAGCCAGGCAUCAUGGUCGCAAUAUCUUGAGAAACGUGGCCACCAAUGGCGACUUUGCUAAAAUGUGGGACAAAUUCGCUCCGAGGAAAGAGCGAGAAUCCUUGAGGGAGGUCAUCUCAAAGGUUAACCUCAAAGAAAGGAAUAUCUGAAUAAUCCCCAAUUUGACUAUAUAUUUGUAUCUAAAUAUUUGCACAUUUCCCAACCUGACUAUUUUCCCCUCCAGUCCCCAAACUCCAAUAUUUUCGCUCAUUUUAAGAAAUUUGACACUAUCAUCCAAACCCCCAUGUAAAUACAUCUUUAAACUGCAUUGAAUCCUUGUCCAAGUCCUGAAUCCACUAUAAGGCAAUAUGAACCACAUUCAAAGCACUAAAUUACCUUUCCUCAAAGCUCCUAUCUGAUCUACCAGCUCAAUAGUGGUCUACUGAAACCAUACUCACCAUCUCAGGGGGUGCUCAGAUCAUCAACCACUGACCUCCACACCAUCCUCAAAACCAGCAGUCCUCUUUUGGAGGCAGAUUGGUCAGUGCUCCUGUAUGGCACCAACAUUGUGGAUUUUCAUCCAAUACUUCUGGACUAUGAGAACA